CCGAGGGCGCAUAUAAUUAUGCAUUCAAUCAGUGCCAUAAUUUAAUCAAAAAAUUAUAUCCUGAGAUAGAUACCUCUAAGGUCACUCCAAAGGUGGCUGUUGAGAUGGCCAUAAAGGAGAAUCUCAAGCCGCUCGCUGAAGCGAUGGAGGAGUUAGCUAAGGAGUCAGGUAGGGCAUUUUCCAAAGUAAAUAUAACUAAGAUCAUCACCGUGGAGCCUAUUUCUGCUGUAUCUCCAGUCGAGACUCAGAUUCCCAAGGCCGUCAAGAAAUCAUAGUCCACUAC
rnacentral:lncRNA from 1 species